rnacentral:rRNA from 1 species
UGGGGAAUCUUGCGCAAUGGGCGAAAGCCUGACGCAGCGACGCCGCGUGCGGGAUGACGGCCUUCGGGUUGUAAACCGCUUUCAGCAGGGACGAGGCCGCAAGGUGACGGUACCUGCAGAAGAAGCCCCGGCUAACUACGUGCCAGCAGCCGCGGUAAUACGUAGGGGGCGAGCGUUAUCCGGAUUCAUUGGGCGUAAAGCGCGCGUAGGCGGCCAGUUAGGUCGGGAGUCAAAUUUCGGGGCUCAACCCCGUCUCGCUCCCGAUACCGGCUGGCUUGAGUGUGGUAGGGGAAGGCGGAAUUCCCGGUGUAGCGGUGGAAUGCGCAGAUAUCGGGAAGAACACCGGUGGCGAAGGCGGCCUUCUGGGCCAUCACUGACGCUGAGGCGCGAAAGCUAGGGGAGCAAACAGGAUUAGAUACC